rnacentral:rRNA from 1 species
UAUGUUCUUGACCAAAUUACGUGCCAGCAGUCGCGGUAACACGUAGCAAGACUAGUGUUAUUCAUCUUUAAUAGGUUUAAAGGGUACCUAGACGGUAAAUCAAGUCCGAAAAGGAUACUAAUUUACUAGAGUUUAAUGUGAGGGGGCACUAAAGUACUGAUAAGUGUAGAGAUGAAAUUCUGUGAUACAAUAUACGGCACUGGUAAAGGCGAAAGCAUCUCAUUAUGUAAUAACUGACGUUGAGGGACGAAGGCUAGGUGUAGCAAAAAGGAUUAGAUACCCAAGUAGUCUUAGCAGAAAAUUAUGAAUGUCAUAGGAUAGAAAAAUGGACAAAAAAUUUUUUUUCUAUAAAUGAAAGUGUAAGCAUUCCACCUCGAGAGUAAUUUGGCAACAUUGGAACUGAAAUCAUUAGACCGUUUCUGAAACAAGUAGUGAAGUAUGUUGUUUAAUUUGAUAGCCGCAAAAAACCUUACCACAAUUUGAAUAG